AACGAACGCUGGCGGCAUGCCUAACACAUGCGGGUCGAACGAGAUCUUCGGGUCUAGUGGCGCACGGGUGCGUAACGCGUGGGAAUCUGCCCUUUGGUUCGGAAUAACAGUUGGAAACGACUGCUAAUACCGGAUGAUGACGAAAGUCCAAAGAUUUAUCGCCAGAGGAUGAGCCCGCGUAGGAUUAGCUAGUUGGUGUGGUAAAGGCGCACCAAGGCGACGAUCCUUAGCUGGUCUGAGAGGAUGAUCAGCCACACUGGGACUGAGACACGGCCCAGACUCCUACGGGAGGCAGCAGUGGGGAAUAUUGGACAAUGGGCGAAAGCCUGAUCCAGCAAUGCCGCGUGAGUGAUGAAGGCCUUAGGGUUGUAAAGCUCUUUUACCCGGGAUGAUAAUGACAGUACCGGGAGAAUAAGCUCCGGCUAACUCCGUGCCAGCCGCCGCAGUAA
rnacentral:rRNA from 1 species